rnacentral:rRNA from 1 species
UAUAGAUGGAUCCGCGCUGCAUUAGCUAGUUGGUAAGGUAACGGCUUACCAAGGCAACGAUGCAUAGCCGACCUGAGAGGGUGAUCGGCCACACUGGAACUGAGACACGGUCCAGACUCCUACGGGAGGCAGCAGUAGGGAAUCUUCCGCAAUGGGCGAAAGCCUGACGGAGCAACGCCGCGUGAGUGAUGAAGGUCUUCGGAUCGUAAAACUCUGUUAUUAGGGAAGAACAUAUGUGUAAGUAACUGUGCACAUCUUGACGGUACCUAAUCAGAAAGCCACGGCUAACUACGUGCCAGCAGCCGCGGUAAUACGUAGGUGGCAAGCGUUAUCCGGAAUUAUUGGGCGUAAAGCGCGCGUAGGCGGUUUUUUAAGUCUGAUGUGAAAGCCCACGGCUCAACCGUGGAGGGUCAUUGGAAACUGGAAAACUUGAGUGCAGAAGAGGAAAGUGGAAUUCCAUGUGUAGCGGUGAAAUGCGCAGAGAUAUGGAGGAACACCAGUGGCGAAGGCGACUUUCUGGUCUGUAACUGACGCUGAUGUGCGAAAGCGUGGGGAUCAAACAGGAUUAGAUACCCUGGUAGUCCACGCCGUAAACGAUGAGUGCUAAGUGUUAGGGGGUUUCCGCCCCUUAGUGCUGCAGCUAACGCAUUAAGCACUCCGCCUGGGGAGUACGACCGC